rnacentral:rRNA from 1 species
UUUUAAAGAGAGUUUGAUCCUGGCUCAGGACGAACGCUGGCGGCGUGCCUAAUACAUGCAAGUCGAACGAACGGAGGAAGAGCUUGCUCUUCCAAAGUU